rnacentral:rRNA from 11 species
GCUUACAUGUAAUACCCCUAAAGGCACUGGGUCCCAUCUGAUCUUGGAAGAUAAGCAGAGUAAGCCCCCAUUAGCACUUGGAUGGGAGACAACCAACAAAUAUCAGGUGCUGUGGGCU